rnacentral:piRNA from 1 species
UUCAACGGACAGUUGUAAUCUACAUAAGU